AUAUUGUUUAAAGUUGAUCUCGCC
rnacentral:siRNA from 1 species